GUCUCCGCAUCGAGCCCUUGCGCACGACGGAGGGCGGCCCAUGGUCUGUGGGUCGGAUGUCUGGCGGUCACACCCGCCGGGAAGAUCUUCUGGCGGAAACAGAAUCUGCUCCUUUCGGGAAAGGCUGAUUGCGCGGUUACGUGCAGCGUGUGUUGAGGAGUGGCUCUGGAAACUUAAAGAGCCCGACGAUCAAGUGAUCUUGCCAACUACCGUUUUAAUCAGCAUGUUUUAUUUUGUUGUGGUACAGGCUCAGAGCCCAAUGCAAGCCCUGGCAGAUGUCUUCAACACCAGAGUGACACUCAGCCUGAAGGCCAGGAUUGAAGACUGGAAGUACAGGGGCAAGAAAUACCUUUGAAAAUACUCCAGUGUCCAAACUGCUCACUGGUGUUGCUGCCUUUUGAGCCAGGGCACGAGGCUUUGUUGAGGUCACUACUUUUCAUUCCCUCCAAGAUGGACAAGAUGUUUGUUUUGUGCACACUAAUCUGAGUAUCCCCUACCAAUUCUGAGGUGAGCCAUAACUCAGAACUAAGGGACUGAAGGCUGCUAUCAUAGACCAUGAGCAGCCGCUCCAACCACAGCCCUGGCACAGACCACCCAUAAGAGCAUUUCCACCUCCUAGGAAGAUAAAUUCAUAUUUAUAUUGUCU
rnacentral:lncRNA from 1 species